GACGAACGCUGGCGGCGUGCCUAAUACAUGCAAGUAGAACGCACAAUUUAUACCUUUGCUUGCUACACCAUAGACUGUGAGUUGCGAACGGGUGAGUAACGCGUAGCUAACCUGCCUGGUAGCGGGGGAUAACUAUUGGAAACGAUAGCUAAUACCGCAUAAUAUUAAUUAUUGCAUGAUAAUUAAUUGAACGGUGCAAUUGCACCACUACCAGAUGGACCUGCGUUGUAUUAGCUAGUAGGUGAGGUAACGGCUCACCUAGGCGACGAUACAUAGCCGACCUGAGAGGGUGAUCGGCCACACUGGGACUGAGACACGGCCCAGACUCCUACGGGAGGCAGCAGUAGGGAAUCGUCGGCAAUGGACGAAAGUCUGACCGAGCAACGCCGCGUGAGUGAAGAAGGUUGUCGGAUCGUAAAGCUCUGUUGUAAGAGAAGAACGGGUGUGAGAGUGGAAAGUUCACACUGUGACGGUAACUUACCAGAAAGGGACGGCUAACUACGUG
rnacentral:rRNA from 1 species